UUCGUUGCUACACGAAGUAACCUUACCGUGGUUUGACAUAUAGGUUGUAGGGAACUGAAAAGGGACCGACCCUUCGGGGAGCCUAUACAGGUGUUGCAUGGCUGUCGUCAGCUCGUGUCGUGAGAUGUUCGGUUAAGUCCGCUAACGAGCGCAACCCUCGUCGUAUGUUAUAUGUGUCAUACGAGACUGCCGGUAAAAGCCGGAGGAAGGUGAGGAUGAUGUCAAGUCAGCAUGACCUUUAUAUCCAGGGCUACACACACGCUACAAUGGUCUGUACAAUGGGUAGCCAAGCCGCGAGGCGGAGCCAAUCCUGAAAGCAGGCCUCAGUUCAGAUUGCAGUCUGCAACUCGACUGCAUGAAGCCGGAGUUGCUAGUAACCGCAGGUCAGCAAUACUGCGGUGAAUACGUUCCCGGGUCUU
rnacentral:rRNA from 1 species